AGUGCUUUAUCAAGGCUCUGGACUUUACAGCCAGCUGGGGGGCAAGGGGCUAGGGCAUGGCUCCUGCAUAUCACCCGCGGGGAGCAGAACAAAGCCGUGCCCCAGACAAGCACUCCUUGUUCGGCAGCAUCUGGCAGCCAAAAUUCACCGAAGUGACACUGUUUGAAGAGCUCAGACCGUCAGACAUGUUUGAUACACAGACAUCAGCUGAGAAGUAGAAGAUCAGCGUGUUAGAGAAAAAGAUAGGAAAGUUAAGUCUUGGGGGAGGAGGGCAGAUGUCGCAAAGGGUUAACGGAGCAGUUCGAGCUGGCUGGGAGCAUUUGCAUACCAUUACAUCAUGCAAAACCUACAUUCCUGCAUUGACAGAGCAAGUCCAAAAUAUGCCUUAUGCAGCCGAAGGAGAUUUUUUUCCCUGUUCCCUCUACAAUGCAGAGCAGGGAGCUCCCUGUAAGCUCAUUACUUGCCUACGCUCACGCUCUCCUCCUUUGUUGUGAGUAUCCUUUGGGCGUGUAAGAGUUGCACAACAGAGAAGUUUAACAGCGGACUCGCAAAGGUGUUGCAGAAAGAUGUUCUCUUGUACAUCAUGGGCAAGCACCGCUUGGCAGCUAUAGGAAACCACCCAGUCCAUGGAAAGAUGGCAGCAGCAGGUCACAGCAAAGGUCCAUCUGGUCAAGAAUAUCCCUGCUAUCACAGCAGCCCCACUUCACAGAAGAAUGUGAGAACAUGAAACGGUGUAAAGUCCUCCAGGACAUUUUCUAGCUGGCAGUGAUUUGAACACAUUUUCUGAACCCAGUAGAAGUUGGUAUAGUCACAAAAGGCUAUUUUUUUUUCUCUUUUUUAGUUCUUGCAGGUACAUUCUGAACUCGCAUCAGCUUCUUGCAUUCCCCGCACCAUGGAUGUGUGCAAGGAGUCCCAGGAUGUAAGCAGCUGUGGCACAGAGCGCAGCCCUUCUCACCUGCAUCUUGCUAGUCUCACUGGUGCAUCCUGUUCUUGGACUUCUGGGGAAGCAGCAAGCAGCCCAUUACCGGCUCACUUUGCCACCCACUAUUUCAUAUGUUCUGGCCUAUCCCUCAUUUAGAUUUUCUUCUGUGAUAGACAAUCCUACUCUGUUUACUCUUUUCUUCCCUAGCAGCUUUUCCCUAUCUCUGAUCACCUUUGUCACCUUUUCCCACACUUUCCCCAUUUUUCUGAUCCGUCAGAGCCUGCCUCAUACAGCUGGGAACUGCAAAACCACAGGGUAGGUGCUCUUUUUAGAGGCCAGUGAGAAAUGCAGGCUCUCUGGCAGCAGGAGUGAAGGGAUCGUGUGGCUUGGGAAAAGUCCCAAACAAAAUUUAAUCAUAGCCUGGGAUCCGAAUGGACAUUUGACACUGGCUUUGCUAAAGAACUCUGAAGCUUUUGCCACUCCCUGUCAGGAGUCACAGCCUGUCAGGAGCUGCCUAAUGGCAGAAGAGGUACAGCCACAGGGCAGAGCGGGAUGCUUCUAGCUGUAGCCAAAGUUUUGGUUUCACACAAGGAUGAAGAAAAGCCAGUACCAAACCACUGAAACUUUUAUUAAUCUGUAAAAGUUUAUGGAGACAGUCUCAGAAAAACGAGCAUAAAAAUAUAAUAAGUCCAUCCCUCCUAAAAUCAGUAACAGACUUUAACGCAUGAGGACAUCCUGACCUGUCUUAAAGGAGCUCAUUUCUGGUAUCCCAGCACCUAUUCAGGGAUCAGGCAGCAUGUCCUCAUGUCCUCCUAGGACAUCUGCCUAAUCUGCCAGGGACUGAUUAGCAUGAUACUUACUCCUACCAAGAGAGAGGAAUAUCCAUUAAAUGGGUUUAAAGCACUGUCCUUAUUUACACUAAAAUAAAGUUAUCUACUAAAGACCAAAUUAAAAAACAAAAACAAAAAACUAAUUGUAUUUCAAUGACCAUCUAAAUUCUCAGCAUCUGAACUACUGCUGUUUUUUGCUGUGUUUUUUGUUUUUUCCUUCCUUACUGCUCACAUAGUUUCACCCCUCUGUAUCAGCUUCCUUUGCCUCUGGAACAGGGGACUGUUGUGACAGAGCUCACUGCCACUCUGUGGCUGUCACAGCAGGGCUCCAACACCCACCACCAAAGCUCUUGCACCCUCUUAGAGGGAUGCACUGAGGCUAAGCAUCCAACUCUAGAGGAGGAGGAUCCCUGGGGGCCUCCCACAGAAGGCUCCCAGUGUGCUGAUGCCCCCCUGGCUCCCCACCAGCCACAGGGUGUGCUCCUGGCAGCUGCACAGCAGGUGGGGUGCAAGCUCCAUCUGGAGAUGGUGAGAGGAAAGACCUGGUUCUGGCAGCCUCAGACUUGACAUUUGUAAGAUCUGAAAUCUCUUCAGAAACAAAAGCAGAGCACUUGCUCAGCAUGCAGUGGAAAAAGAAGUGUUCUAUAUUCAUAUACAAACUUUCUGCUAUGUAAGGAGAUGAGCUUUCAUUUCUUCCCACACAAUCGUGUUGAAAUCUUUCAGAAAAAAAGGCCAUUUCUGUUUUGUGGUGGAGCAGUUUCCCAGCACCUAACCUCAUUUAGGUGUAAUUACCAGAAUAGUCUAGGAAAAGGAAGGAAGAUGUCCUCUCUAAUCUAGUCUGACUCCUAACUAAAUUGUCCUCUGCAGGGAAGAGAGAGAAUUUCUGUGUAAAUACUUAUUUAGCAGACAUAUUAAGAAAUAAACAGAAAGAAAUAGUUUCCUGACACCUGCCUCCAAGCUCUGAGAAUACCUUCCAAGCCUUCAAUUCCUCUUACAAGAGAAACCUUGAGGUUUGUGGCAUAUUGAGAAAUCACUGAACAAGUUUCUCAUUUAACAAUUUAGCUGAUGAAUGCUCAUCAUGAGGGCAUGAAUGUUCAAGUGAGGGAGAGUUCAGGUUUGGGAUGUAAAUUUGUGCCCUUCUCACUUGAGAAUUCAUUCCUCAGGUACUGGCUUUGUCAGAGUGUGUUACCACCUUGAACACACUUGUUUCAACUAGCUUUGUGUAUAAAUGGCCUAUCAGCACUGGGGAGCUGUGGGGAAAUGCAUCAGUAUGUUAUCUUCAUGGCCGCACAAGGCAGAAGACAGGUCAGCGGGUACUAUCUCAAAGCCUGUAAUUCACUGCCUGCCUUGCACACUGGAAUGCUUCAGCAUGGAUUAAUAAAAUACCUAUUAUUCAAUUUGAGAUCUCCUGUUCCGCAUUAGGCUUUGAGAACGACCUUUUACAUAUAAACCAGUCUCUUAGGUCCCCUAGUAACAACACAUUUGUAGAACACAGUCUUUAGGUCAGGAAUUGAUUAUAUUACCCGUAUCUUUUAUAUAUAUAUAUAGAUAUAGAUAUAGAUAUUUGUGGUUUUGUUGUUGUUGUUGUAUUUUUUUUUUUUUGUCAAAUUGAGAGCUAGUGACUACAAAAAUCUCCCACAAAUCUCCCACGUCCCUUCAGCCUUUGCAUUUGGCCAUAAUUUGGCCAUAAGAAGUGAUCCCAUAUAUUAAAGACAGGUUUUACAUCUUCAUAUCUAAUAUUCUGAUUCCACACAGGAAUUUCUCAUCUGCACCAUGGGCUGAGGCUAUAGUUGCUGCUCAAUUAACUAACUUCAGUGUUCUGGUCCGUUAAAACAAUACAUUUUUCUGAGCAGCACAAUAGCCUAGAAGAGUUAUUUGGAAAACACAGGUGCAUGGUAAGAACAUGAUCUAUUUGAGAAUGCAGCAAUACGAACACAGCACUGAUGAGCAGAAAACAAAACAGAAGCCUCAAUGCAUGAAUUCAACAAAAGCUGCAUACAAUGAGCUUAGCUAACAGCUUUUACACCUCACUGCUUAAGUGUUACAAGCAUUAAAAAUAAACGUAUCACUAGGCACAAAGGCUAAUGGAAAUGCCACAAGUAAACUGGACCCAGUCACUUCUUUACCUACUACAGAAGAAAAAUCUGCAGCUCUAAUGCUACUGACCAGCGACACAGACAAAAAGCCUUCAGGACACUGUCCUUCUCUUCAUCAACUCAAGACCUUCCUGCUUCCAUGUGUGACCUGGGAACCUAAUCCCACUGUGGCCUCUGGAAACCAAACCUGCAGUUCCCAAUGAGGCUCACACAGACUCCUGCGCAUCUGCACCACAGAAGGUUGGACCUAGCAGGGGCUGUUGGUGGAAGGGAGGGAAGCAGCUGCCAAAUGAGUUUUAGAUUCCUAGGGACCACUGAAGUCACACCAAGCCACCAGCACCAAGGAUCAAGCUGGGAUGUGCAGGUUGCUAGUGCCAAUAGGUUAGAAAUCCUAUUUAGAGGAACCAAAACCAUAAGGUUUUAUUACCCUGCUCACAUAUUUCAUGCCACUUUGCAGAAUGAUACAGCUGAAAUCUCAGCUAAAAAGUUCUACCUUACUCCCUACAAAUAACUUGCUAAAUUCAAUGCAGCAUCCUCUUUACUCAACACAAAAGUAGUCUGAUGUGGUUUUUACUGAAUAUGACAACUCAAAUACAAUUUUCUUUGUUUUAAAGCCUAAAAAUACUUCUUUCCAGACUAAGGGUUGACUAUCAAUGCAAAUCAAUCAUUCCACAGCUGAACACAUGGCAGAAUUUAAAAAGCAAAACAAAAAAAACCCACCUCAUUCCUCUGUCUUCACUUUCACUAUCAGCUAUUUCUUCCAAAGUAUUUUGAUAUUCGACUCUCUUGUCUGGUAUUUAAUUUUUUAGUUGCAAUAAUAUAACUAUUCUCCACAGAAGCAGCAGCAAAAGGACUAUUCCAGGAAAGUGGAGGUAAUUUGAUUUAAAAACCGGGAGUACGACACUCAGAAAAUUAGAGGAUUAUCAGCAACAGGUCAAAGAAUUUUUGAAAGCAUUCUUAAUUGUGAAAUAGAAAUUGUUAGUGGGAUAACAAGAAAAUUAUCUGUAAGGAUUAAUUUCCCGUCACAGCAAAUAAGAGGAAGAGGUUUAAGUUAAGUAACACUGCAAUACAAAAAUGCACAAAUACCUUCUUCAACAUCUGACAAAUAUUCAGCAUCACUGAGUAUUUCAGGGGCAUUGGCUUUACGAACUGCAUGAUUUAAAUAAACAAAAUUAAAUAAAAGCAUAGACCAUCAAUGAGUCAAAAACAAUAUAAAACAAUGAAUGUGCAGAUACCAUAUCCAACUCAUACAGUUUUUGUUUGUUUUUAAACAAGUACUUCUUCCAAAAACAACAGACUGAAAAGUGACAGGUUUUUGUUUUUGUUUUUUUAAUUUUCAAAUACCUUCAUCAUCAGACAUAUCGAGAACUUCAUUCAUCGUUUCGGGUACAUUCAUUUUGUGCUUUUCUGUAACAGUCUGUCAAAGGAAAAAAAAAGCAUUUCAGAGCUCA